UACAAAGCCUGGACUGUCAGCUCCUCGGAGAUUUGUGUCCCCAGAGCUGACAGCGGCCCGGACCAGGCCCUAAGGAAAUAUUUCAUUGAUGAAGUGAUGGAGUACCAAGCAGUCCUUCUCAAAUUAUCUCUGUUAUGGAACCAUGGGAGUUCAGAGAAGAGGAAACUGCUCCCAUCCAGGGGGAGAGAAGACAGAAGGCUUCGUGGAGCUUUGACUAUGCCAAAGUGUUGGGAAGGAAAUUCUCUGUGACUGGAACAGGAUGGACAGAGAUACAGAGGCAAGAGAUCAAAGAAUAGAAAUGUAAACACAGAGGGUAAGAGUAGAAAUCGUGAGUUUCACUGACACCUCUGAUUCCAGACCCAUCUCACAGGGCGCUUCCUUGCUUUCCCCCAUUCUAUCUUUGCACAUCUCUUCCUCACAGUGAGGACUUUGGCUCCCAAAAUAUUGACACAUUUACUCAUAUGCUCAUUUCUACAACAUUCAUCGCCACACCUAUGUCACUACAAAAAACAAAUCUACCAAAAAGAAUUCAAGAUUUGUUGACAGUUCUUUUUUUUUCCCCCUAGACUGAGGGUACAUGGUCAAAGAACUAUAUUCAAAAAUUGCCCUGAUAAUUCUCGCCCUCCCCCACCUCUAUUCAGCAUGGCUGUGCUAGUCCUUUG
rnacentral:lncRNA from 1 species